CAACAGAGCUCCGAGUAUAGCUUCAUAAUCAUUAGUCUUAAUAAACUCAAUAUGCGGGAGAUAUUUAUAUCAAUAACCUUAUUAUUUACUGUGAUCGUUAGCGGGCGGUCAUUGGAGAAUGGGAAUGAUGGAUUCAAUUAUUAUAAAGACUUUUUACUCCGACCGAGAACAAAAGAUAUUAACUGGCGAGAUUUAAUCUACGAUCAUAUUCCAACUCCGCUACAUCUACGUUCAGAAGGUGAAAUGUAUCAGGGUUUUCUCAGUAAAAGAACUGGAAAUAUAUUUAAAAAUCAUAUGCUAGGCAAAGAUUAUUUACGGGGAGACCCUUCAGCCAAGAGGUCAUCUAAGACUGGACUUUCUCUACUAAUGCAGAGUAAACAGAAUAUCCAACCAAUCGAUGAAGUGCAGGGCUGUCUCUACGGAAAAUAACAUCAUUCACUCCAAGGUUACGCCAGUCGUCUCGAAGAUGAACAAAAUUGAUCAAAAAUUUUCUUCUAUUUACAUAACGAGUUAAUAAAUGUAUGAAAUUAUA